AUUGAACGCUGGCGGAAUGCUUUACACAUGCAAGUCGAACGGCAGCACGGACUUCGGUCUGGUGGCGAGUGGCGAACGGGUGAGUAACAUAUCGGAACGUAUCCAAUAAUGGGGGAUAACUAGUCGAAAGAUUGGCUAAUACCGCAUACGCCCUACGGGGGAAAGCUGGGGAUCGUAAGGCCUGGCGUUAAUGGAGCGGCCGAUAUCUGAUUAGCUAGUUGGUGAGGUAAAAGCUCACCAAGGCGACGAUCAGUAGCUGGUCUGAGAGGACGACCAGCCACACUGGAACUGAGACACGGUCCAGACUCCUGCGGGAGGCAGCAGUGGGGAAUUUUGGACAAUGGGCGCAAGCCUGAUCCAGCCAUUCCGCGUGAGUGAAGAAGGCCUUCGGGUUGUAAAGCUCUUUCGCAAGGGAAGAAAACUUAUCCUCUAACAUAGGAUGAGGUUGACGGUACCUUGAUAAGAAGCACCGGCUAACUACGUGCCAGCCGCCGCCGUAACAC
rnacentral:rRNA from 1 species